CAAGAAGUCUCCAUAAGAUAGAGCAUUCGCCCACCAUAGUAGUGAUCUGACCCUAAAAUGGAAAAAAUAACAAGUCGACACAGGGAAAGAGUGGAGUGAGACGUGGACACCGAUCUAGUAGAAAGAAUCAGCCAUGAGUUCAACGUAUCGAAUAUACGCUGGAUAUGUGGGGAUAGCAGGAGGUCAGAAAUAUGGCCCUGGGAAGGAAUCGCACUCAGCCCUCAAGAAACUCUAAAAGCGAUGAAAAACCUAGAUAGAGAUCGAAAACCAGACAUCUGGAAUGCAGAAGAAGUUUGGAACUUAAAGUCCGAGGUAAUCGGGGAAGAAUGUAUAUGGAGAAAAGGACUGAAAUUUCUUUCCUAUGUAGGUGAACUGUCUUGUAAAAGGUAUCUAACUACUAAUGAUACCCAUGAGUGGUGGAUUCCCCAGAGUAAACAUCUGUAUUGGGCACAAAAACAAAAGCCAGGCUCAAACUGUUCAUAUAUACAAAGAGAACAAUUGUAGGAGUGUCUAGCUAAAGAACCGAAUCUAUUUCAAGACGAACCCUGGUUGUCUAAAUUUUGGAACAAAAAUGAAGUUAGAAAUACCAGAUCACUAAAAUUCUGGAAAGGCCCGAAAGGAUUGUUUUGGAUUUGUGGAAAGAUGGCAUAUGUGAUGCUACCAAAAGACUGGAAGGGCAGUUGUACAUUAGGUGUAAUAAGAGUGUCAUUCUUUUUACUUCCAAAAGAUGACCAUCCAGAUUUAGGGGUACCCCUCUAUGAUGAAUUAAAACGUCAAAAGAGAUAUCUAAUUGGAGGAACCCAGAGCUGGGGAGACGAAGAGUGGCCCCCAGAGAGAAUUAUUGAAACCUAUGGCCCUGCCACCUGGGCCCAGGACGGUUCAUGGGGGUAUAGAACCCCCAUUUAUAUGUUGAACAGAAUUAUAAGGUUACAAGCACUUCUAGGAAUAGUUUCUAAUGAGACAGCUUUAGUUUUAGACUUGUUAUCAGUACAGAGCCACCAGAUGAGGACUGCCAUAUAUCAGAACCGGCUAGCCUUGGACUACCUGCUGGCCGAAGAAGGAGGGGUAUGUGGAAAGUUUAAUUCAUCUGAAUGUUGUCUAGAAAUUGACGAUCAUGGGGACCUAAUUAAAAAUAUAGCCACCAGGAUUAGAAAACUUGCACAUGUACCAGUACAACGAUGGACCCCAUUGAUAAAAGCUAAUUGGUGGGAUAACAUCUGGAAUGGAGAAUGGUGGAAAAAGAUACUGCUUAUAGUGGGGGGGGGUUGGGGGGGCACUCAUAAAUUUAAUUUUCCUUCCUUGUUUAAUACCUUGUCGUAUCAGAAUGAUUAAUAACAUUCUCCAGACUUCUCUUGAAAGGUCAACAGAUGAGAAAAUUAUGAUGAUGAAAGAAAACCAAGACGGAAAAGGAACAGAGAGCGCAAAAGAGAUGUAUGAGAAAUACCAGAAGUUAAGAGAAUUUUACCGAAAGUAUGAAAGUCCAGUUUGAUAAGUUAAGGCUGAUGCGGGCCAAGCCCGAUCAAAGAAUUAGAGGGAGGAUUGUUAUGAACAAAAAUAAAAUUUAAACCUUUGGGGAACGUAGUUGACAAUGGUUAAAUGUUGUUACAAAGUUAAAUGUUGUUAAUACCAGUAACAAAGUGUGAUUAGUUCUAUGAAAACCCAGUGGUGUGGUUCAUGUAUAAAGGGGGAGUGGAACCAGGGAGGAGAUGGGGUGCCAAUCUUUGUGCAGGGGCAGAGAAACUUUCAGUAGUAUUCCAUCAUAGAACACAACCACAAGUUAAAUCAAGAUUGGAAGAGAGACCAACCAAUGGGAGGUGAGAAUUCCAAAAUGAUUGGCCAAGACUGCACCAACUUAUAAGUCAAUCAGCAACGGAGAAAUAGACCUGUCACAGCACGGAUCCUGAGCGCCCCAAUCAGGAGACAAGAGAGAGACUUGAAAAGGCCUGGGGUGUCUAACUCCCGCGUCUUUCCUGGGAGCCGCUUUCCCUGGAAACACCCCUAGGUUACAAUUACUAAGCUGUUGAAACAGUAUCUGGACCAGCCCGAGGUUUUUGCUUCCAGUUGUUCAUUUUGUAAUAAACAAGCUUACUUUUUUAA